AUUUUAAUUCCAUUCGACUCUCUGUCUCUAGACACUUGUAUCUUUGUCGCGGUAUAUCUUUAAUCGUUGGUGGUAGAUGAAUUUAGGAACAUGCGUAUACGUCCGUGGUUUUCAUCAGUACUUGCCUCUCAGUUACCAAUGUUACCAUUCUAAAGACAUAGAUAAUUAUAGUACAGUAGCAAUGUGACGGUGACAAUAUCAGAUGCUGUGAUUGCUAUCAAUUUGAAGAAACUGGAUAUGUUGAAAUCGGUAAAAUAUGUCUUCCUAUGAUGUCUUCAUUAAAUCAUACAUACCUAGGUAGGUAUGUAUUUUAAAACAAAAUCGUAAAUUAUAUUUUAAAAUUAUGAAAUUAAUUAAAAUGGAUGUUUAUCCAUAGCCCUAUAAUUACAGGUUGAUAAUCUCAAUCCAGUAUAUAUAAUUCAAGAUUAAUGGAAAAAGUUAUAAAGACAGAAGAAUUAUUAUUGUGACAAUUAAUCUAUUACAAUAUUACUAAUUUCAUUAUCAUUUUUCAAAUUGUUAUUUAUAUAAUUUGUUAAUAGAUAUGGAAGAAUCAAAAACUGUUUGCCUGUAAACACAUGAAGAAACAACAAAAUGAAACAGGAAAUUAAACUGAUUUUGAUUAAAUUAAUGCAGCUGACUGAGUAAACAAUUUUGAACACCGUAAUACUGAUACGUAAAUACUAAAUACCUGAAUAAAAAAAUAAAUAAAUAUUAUACAUUUCCAAAAAUAUAUUUUUAUUUCUUUAAUUUGUUAUACAAUAAGUGGUUAUAGAUAAUAUAAUAGUAUUGAAGAAUUUUCAGAAUCUGUAUACAUAUAAUACAAUUAAUAAUAAAAUGUAUUGCUCUAUACAUUUAACAAUAUAUAUUAUAUUAUUUAGUAAUACACAAAAUACAAUAAUGUCAACUAAUUAACCUAUUUAAAUUUAAUAAACAAUGUCCUAAUAUUAAAAUUUAUAUAUUUUUUAGAGUGAUUGCUCCAGUAAAAAUUUGAAACAAUGAACAGAAAAUGUAUUUGAAAACAAAAUAGAGACCAUAAUUUUACAAACUGAUUUGUAAAUAAUGCAUUUCACACUCAAACUAAUUUAUCCUGAAGGCUGAAAACGGGUUUGGGCAGUAAUGUAUAUAUAUUUAUUUAUUUAAAUUUUAAACAGGCCAGACCCAAUUACAUAGAUUAUUAUAAUAACAAACGUUCAUUAACAAUAAAAUAUGUAACAUGUAUCGGAAUAGACCAAUGUUCUUUGUAAACUACAAUUUGCUGACAAUCUUCAAUAUAAAAGAUAAUCCAAGAUACAAAAGAGCCACAAAUACCAAUCUGUUUUAAUUUACUAAAUAAGAUUUGACGAUUAAUUUUAUCGAAAGUCUUAGCGAAAUUGGUGUAUAUAACAUCAGCAUUUGAUCCACCAGAACGAAUGUCAGAUACAAAAUUUUGAAAAUUAAGUAAAUUAGUUAAUAUACUUUUAUUUCAUCGAAAACCAUGCUGAUCGUCUAUGAUCACAUUACUUAAAUCAGAUAAAACUAUUUGCAAUUAUCUAUUCAAAUAACUUAGGUAUGAGAGAAAGCAAGGAUAUAGAUUGGUAAUUUUAAAUAUUGGUUAUAUCGGAGGAAAACUUAGGGUUAAAACUAAUAAAAUUAGUUUUCCUUUAUAAUGUACCUACGGCAACUAUAUACAUUUUUAUGAUGUUUCAUAGUUAUAAAAUUAAAUUAGAAUUUUAUGAUUUUAUUUUAUUUAUGAGUUAAUUUAUUGUAUUUUUAUUUUAGGUAUUCAAUUUAUAUUUUUAAUAAGUUUUUAUAAAAUCAAAAACAAUUCCCUAAUUUAAAUUAUAUUAGAAUAAUAAAUAAUAAUAUUUAAUAUUGAAAACUUUAUUUUAGGUAGCAAGGGAUUUAUUGAUUAUAUUGUGAUGUGUGUUAUUGUAUUUUAGAUUCUGAGUGUAACAAAGAAUUAAUUGGUUUUACAAAGAUUUUUUUUUAUUCGUCUCAUUAACUUUUUUAUAAGAGAUCUUACUCCGAUUAUCAAGUGUAGUACAUUUUCUGAAAGAAAAUUUUUUCUAGUUGGUGCAUAGAAGAGGUAAUUUAAUUUUCCAAACCGUUUUCAAAAUAAUUGGGAAAAUGUGGAAAGAAAAUAAUAGAUAAAUGGAAAAUAUUUUACGACAAACCACAGUGUUACCGUCAAUAUUUUUAAUUUUUACAACUUAUGUUUUAUACCAGAAAUUUUGGUCCAAUCGAAAAAUGACAAUAGAUCAAUUUUUUUCUUAUUAAUAUUUUGCCACUGUCAAAGAAAGUCAUUUUUGAUAGCCAAAGUACUUAACAUAAUAAUUGUGGAAAACUAAAACAUUCAAAUUGAUUAGUAUUUAGAACAACUUUACAUCCUGGUUUAAUUAUUUUAAUUUUAGAAGACAAUAUUUUUUACUGAAAAUCUCGAUAAAGUUGAAAAAUGACAAGAUAUUGAUUUUGUUAUUUAAAUUACUGUACAUCAUUAAGCAAACAAAUAUGAUGUCAGAAUUUGGAUCUGAACAGCCUAAACUAUCAAUAUUUUUUCAAACUAAUCAUACUAAUUUAUCUUCAAAUAUAUAGAAUACUCCAAAUUUUUAUAAAAUAUAUCAAAAUGAUAAAGAAAAACACGCAUGCUUUCAUUGUUUUUCCCCAAUAGCAGACCAUUUUGUAUUCAAGAGUGCACUAAAGUAAAACAAAUAAUCAUUCAAAUGUAAAAUAAAAAUGUCCACAGGUUUAUUAAUCACUACUAUUUCAUAACCACUACACAUACAGUUAAUAGAAAUAUCACACUUACACUUCAAAGCCUCUAACCAAUUUUUUUAUAUUGUCAGGAGUAAAUUCAGUUUGACAUAAUCCACUAACUGUUUGAAUAAUAUGAUUCACCACAUAAAGACUACAGUUAAAGCAAUCUUUGAACUCCAUGCAUUAUAUCAGAAACCAAAAAUUGUAUACCUGUUAAAUCUAUAAAAUCUUCACAGAGAUUAUUUCCAAUAUUUGAAACCGUACACCAGUUUUUAAAAUAAUUUGUUGAACAAAUUUUAACUAUAGUAUCAUAGUAAGUAAUUUUUUCCUUUGAAUAUUCACAUACAAAAAUACCUAAUGUAUAUUCUCAACAUUAAAUGGGGAAAAAAAUUUUACUUUCUUAAAGGUUAUUUUUCAUCAAUGGGCGACACCAGCUGUCAUAUCAUUUGUGUUACUCACUAUUUCUGGACUCAAAGAUGCAUUGGUAUGUACAAAUUUUAAUUUCAUUGUAUUAUUUAUUUUUAAAGUAAUUGUUUCAUAAAAAUACUUUAUACAAGCAUGAAUUUCACCAGAAGUUAGCCAUUGACCAUUCUUAAGAGAUCUCCAGUCGUCAUGAUUAAAUGGAGUUACUUUAAUUUUCAUUGUUCUAAAAGUAUAUUUAAAAUAAUUUAUGUAAUAUAAUAUGUAUUUAGGUAAUAAUAGUUAAUUAUAAUUUUAGAUUUUAAGCAUAACACAGUGGACUAAAAUUUGUAAAAAUUGGAAAUAAUAAAAAAAUCUAAGUAUAGUUUUCAAUAUUCGUUUGAUUUGGAUUUAUACUAUAAGACAUUAAGAUAGUGAUAAUGAUAUGAUAUAGAUUAUAUCCUAUUUUGUGACCCUUAAUUUAAUAUUAAUAAGUAGGCUAUUAUAUAUUUAGUUCAAAAGGAAAGUGGAAUAUUGUAUAAAUGUAUUCAAAUAUUUUUCUUUUCUACAAAUUUAAUUCUCAAUAUUAUUCUUGAUUAUUUUAAAUACAAUGACAUAAUAUAAUAAUGAUCUCACAGGUAAAUUUCAGAAUUUGUUUAAUUGUCAUUAGCUAUACUAAAUUUAUUACAAUUGUAUAAUUAAUUGCAUACAAAAGUUAAAAAGUUACACUUUAUUACACUUUAUAGGUGUAAAUGAUUCUGAAACGGAAAAUUUUUCCAAUUCUGACACAAAAAUUCUUUUACAUUAGAAUAAAAUAAUUAAGAAUAAACAACAAAAAAAUUAUAUUGAAUGAAG
rnacentral:lncRNA from 1 species